UUCCCCGGGUUGCUCCUGGCCCCACCUGCCAAAGGCGACCGCAUCCCCCCUGCCAUCCCCAGAAAGCAAACCUGGACCGGCACCGACAGCAAGAUGUCCCUUCAACUCUCACAACAGCAGCAAAGGUUCUAGGGAGCUCCUGCAUUUGAAAGGCUCCAUGGCCUUGUUGCAUACCCCAACAAGAUUCUACAAGAUGGGAUUAAACAAUUAGUGUGGACUGGGGAAGCUAGGCCAACUUUCCAUCAACUUAAGAGGGAACUGAUGCAAGCACCUGCACUAGGCCUUCCAGGUUUCUCAAAUACCAAACCAUCCUAGUAGAACAAGAUGAUGUGGAAAUCAUCACCACUAACAUCGUCAACCCAGCAACAUUUCUACCAAGUCCAAUGACUACAGGGGAACCAGUACAUCAUAGUGAUAUUGAAACAAUUGAGGCAACAUAUUCCAGCUGACCGGACUUAAAAGAUACACUACUGCCUGAGGCAGAAAUGUGGUUUACCGAUGGAAGCAGCUAUGUGAAAAAUGGAACCCGCAAAGCUGGAUAUGCAAUAACAACCACAGAUCACAUCAUCGAAGCGCAGGCACUCCUGCUGGUACUUCUGCACAAAAAACCAGAGAUAAUUCCACUCACCAGAGCAUUGCAAUUACGAAAGGGAAAAGACAUUAAUAUUUGGACAGGUUCCAAGUAUGCCUUUGGGGUAGUUCAUGCUCACGGAGCAGUGUGGAAAGAAAGAGGGCUGCUCGCAUCACAAGGAAAACAGAUAAAGCACGCAAAAGAAAUCCUAAAGCUACUCAAAGUUGUCCAAUUACCAAGAAAGUUUGACAUUAUGCAUUGCAGAGGACAUCAAAAAGGUAAUACAGACCAGGAAAUUGAUUGGCAGAUCAAGAGGCGAAAACGGCAGCAGAAAACAGCCAGGUAGGACUUGCCUCCCUAGUCCCUGAUGGCAAAAUCAUAGAGGUAAGCUCUAAUAUAUCAUAUUCAAAGGAAGAUUUAAAAUUAAUAAAUGAUCAGCAAGCUCAAGUCAGAGGUAACAUGUACCAGUUAAAAACAGGACAAGUAGUAAUACCUGAAAGAAUGCUAUGGAAAGUUGUACAGGCAGAACAUGACAAAACCCAUUGGGGGGCAGAUGCACUGCAUAAAUACCUAAGAAAACAAAUUAUAGGACGAAAUUUAUACACCACAAUAAUCCAGGUCACUAAACAGUGUAAGACUUGCCUCCAUAAUAAUCCUCACACAACCAAUAAAAUAGAGAUAGGGACAAUUGGCAAAGGUAACCUCCCAGGGCAACACUGCCAGAUAGAUUUCUCGGAACUGCCUAAGAAAGAGGGCUACAGAUACCUAUUGGUCUUAACAGAUACUUUCUCAAAUUGGCCAGAGGUUUUCCCGACCAGAAGCAAUAAGGCUUGAGAAGUUGUCAAGGUACUACUUAAUGAAAUUAUCCCCAAGUUUGGAGUACCUGACAUCAUCAUUUUGUAGCUAGUAUUAUACAAGAGAUUAGGAGCAUUCUGCAAAUUGAUUGGUAGUUACACACUCCAUAUCGACCACAGGCAAGUGGUCAGGUGGAGAAAAUGAAUCAUUUGAUAAAACAACAAUUGGUAAAAAUCUGUCAAGAAGUAAAUCUGCAUUGGUACCAAGUCUUACCUCUAGCCUUAUGGUGAAUAAGGGUCAAACCUAAGACUAAAGAAGGCCUAAGCCCUUUUGAAAUGUUAUAUGCAAGAACCUAUGGGAAUUAUUAUCAAGGAGAAGACCUCAUACAAGUUGGGGAAGGAUUUA